CCAGGAUGAAAGGAGCUGUGGUUAUCCUUCUGCUUAUUGCCCUGUUCCAAAACUCCUCAGUGGCCGGGCCCAUGGACAGGCCUCAGCUGACGCCUCAGCCAGAAAUCCAGACGGAAGCUGUGGAGGCGACAGGACCAUUAGAUGAGUCUCAGAAUGAGAUCUCUCAGUCUGCGGGUCUUCGGGUGAAGAGGGAGACGUUCAUCGUCUCAAAGACACCUGACCGUUUCUGUACUGGUUGCUUCUCUGUGAUAGGAGACCCAACCAGACCACAGUAGCAACACCUUACAAAGGUUUUUAAAGAAGAAAAAUACAUUUGUUGACUCUAUUUUAUUACUUUUUGUACUUGGAGGUUUUUCUA